UACAGAGGGGGCAAGCGUUGUUCGGAAUUACUGGGCGUAAAGGGCGCGUAGGUGGCCUUCUAAGUUGAACGUGAAAUCCCUGGGCUCAACCCAGGAACUGCGUCCAAGACUGGGAGGCUUGAAUCCGGGAGAGGGAUGCGGAAUUCCAGGUGUAGCGGUGAAAUGCGUAGAUAUCUGGAGGAACACCGGUGGCGAAGGCGGCCCACUGGAUCGGUACUGACGCUGAGGUGCGAAAGCGUGGGGAGCAAACAGG
rnacentral:rRNA from 1 species